rnacentral:misc_RNA from 1 species
AAGUCGUAACAAGGUUUCCGUAGGUGAACCUGCGGAAGGAUCAUUAACAAAUCUAUGAGCGAAAGCUCAUCAACCUUUGUGAAUUGGGUUGUAUAGUUGGUAACAAAUAUACAAUUUCGUUGGGGUCCCUUUGUGUAAUAGAAAGAUUAUUUCUAAAGAUUUUCUGAAGAUUAUUUCUAAAGAAUAUUUCUAAAAGAAUAUUUUGAAAGAUUUAAUUUUUUCUAUUGCAUAUAUAUAUUAACAUUGUCUGAUUAUAGAUUGAAGUCGUAAGAUUUCAAAUAAAAAUACAACUUUUAACAAUGGAUCUCUUGGCUCUC